rnacentral:lncRNA from 1 species
CCUGUGACAUCACGCUCCCUCCACUUAUCUUACAUGUCACAUCUCAAACAUUUAACAUUUUACAUCUCAAACAUUUCUUGAGGCCCUUACCCUCCCAUUCCCCCAAAUCAAUACGGCACUUAGGGGACACCAAGGCGCAGAGACACUUGCCCCAAAUCAUGCAGUAAUGCCCUGGUGCCACCGUGAACAGUGCUGAAGCUUCCUGACCCCUUGUCCAGGGGACCUGGCUGCCUUUUAUAGAAAGUUUCCACACACCUUCUAUUCCUAACCUCGAUCACAAGCAUCGCCGGCCCAGAUGCUCUGUGUCACCGGCUUAGUAACAUACCCCAUUUAGGAGCAUGAGCACAACUUGUUUGCAGUGGGAAUGAAUUAACUGAAUUCUAGAUAUUGUUUUUUGGCUGCCUUUUUUUGUUUGUUUUUAUUUCAAACACAGCUAACUAAUCAGGGCUGUGGACACCAAGAAUGCCAACUUUGAUUCUUCAAGGAAAAUCAGCAGCUGACCACACACCACCCUUCCUGGUCCUCCCCGAGAUGCCAAGAACAUCCAAAGUCUGCAGUUUUGAGCCAAAGAGCCCGAUGGAAAAACACCAAGAGACAAAAACAAAAACAAAAUCAGGAAACUGAAGCUGAUCUGACACCACUUCCUUUUUCUCCAGAUGUUACCCUUCGGAUGCAUACCUCAAUCUGCCUGAAAAUCAUGGAAUUCUGGAGAUGGAAGGGACCUCAGAGAUUUUCUGGUUCUCUCUGUUCUGGUGGUGGUAUGAUUUCCAGGCCCCUGCAGCUUCCUGGCCACCCUCCUCUGGCUACACUUAAUGCCUCUUUGAAAACCUGGUACCCAGAACUGAAUGGUGGACUGCGCUCAGCUUCUCCUUCCAGGUCCCGCCCUGAGGCACCCGGCUUAACCCCCAAGUCAAACGCUGCACAGAGCAGGCCUGCUGCCUGCCCACUCUGGCUACCAGGCCAAAGGCCCAGGU